rnacentral:rRNA from 1 species
GGCCUUUUGAUUAUAAUUUAAGGUCGGGCCUGCCCAAUGAUAAAUUUAAUGGCCGCGGUAUAUUAACUGUGCAAAGGUAGCAUAAUCAUUAGUUUUUUAAUUGAAAGCUGGAAUGAAGGGUUUAAUGAAAAAAGUUCUGUUUCUGUUUGAAUUUAUUAGAAUUUUAUUUUUAAGUUAAAAAGCUUAAAUAAUUAUUGAAGACGAGAAGACCCUAUAGAGUUUUAUAUUUAUAAAAAUUAUUGUAUUUGGUAAUUUUAAUUUAAUUUUUAAAAGUAUUUGGUUGGGGUGAUUKAAAAAUUKAAGUAACUUUUUUUUUAUAGAACAUUAAUGUAUGAGUAAAUGAUCCUAUAUUUUAGAUUAAAAGAAAAAAUUACCUUAGGGAUAACAGCGUAAUUUUUUUUAGAGUUCUUAUCAAAAGAAAAGAUUGCGACCUCGAUGUUGGAUUAAAAUAAGUUUUUGGUGCARAAGCUAAAAAACUAGGUCUGUUCGACCUUUAAAUUUUUACAUGAUCUGAGUUUAGACCGGUUUAAG